CAGCCGCCACGGUAAUACAGAGGGUGCGAGCGUUAAUCGGAUUUACUGGGCGUAAAGCGUGCGUAGGCGGCUUUUUAAGUCGGAUGUGAAAUCCCUGAGCUUAACUUAGGAAUUGCAUUCGAUACUGGGAAGCUAGAGUAUGGGAGAGGAUGGUAGAAUUCCAGGUGUAGCGGUGAAAUGCGUAGAGACCUGGAGGAAUACCGAUGGCGAAGGCAGCCAUCUGGCCUAAUACUGACGCUGAGGUACGAAAGCAUGGGGAGCAGACAGGAUUAGAGACCCCAGUAGUCCCUGUCUCUUAUAC
rnacentral:rRNA from 1 species